rnacentral:rRNA from 1 species
UGGGGAAUUUUGGACAAUGGGCGCAAGCCUGAUCCAGCAAUGCCGCGUGAGUGAAGAAGGCCUUCGGGUUGUAAAGCUCUUUCAGUCGAGAAGAAAAGGCUGCAGUGAAUAACUGUAGUUUAUGACGGUAUCGACAGAAGAAGCACCGGCUAACUACGUGCCAGCAGCCGCGGUAAUACGUAGGGUGCGAGCGUUAAUCGGAAUUACUGGGCGUAAAGGGUGCGCAGGCGGUUUUGUAAGUCAGAUGUGAAAUCCCCGGGCUUAACCUGGGAAUUGCGUUUGAAACUACAAGACUAGAGUGUGGCAGAGGGAGGUGGAAUUCCAUGUGUAGCAGUGAAAUGCGUAGAGAUAUGGAAGAACAUCGAUGGCGAAGGCAGCCUCCUGGGUUAACACUGACGCUCAUGCACGAAAGCGUGGGGAGCAAACAGGAUUAGAUACCCUGGUAGUCCACGCCCUAAACGAUGUCAACUAGUUGUCGGGCCUUACUAGGCUUGGUAACGAAGCUAACGCG